AUAGUACUCCCUCCGUCCGGAAUUACUUGUCGCAGAAAUGGAUGUAUCUAGACGUAUUUUUAGUUCUAGAUACAUUCAUUUCUAUCCAUUUUUGCGAGUAAUUUGGGGCGGAGGGAGUAGAAA
rfam:Triticum aestivum genome assembly, contig: Triticum_aestivum_CS42_TGACv1_scaffold_542952_6DS